rnacentral:lncRNA from 1 species
UAAAAAACACAAGGGUUGUUGUGGGUAAAUGUGGAGGUCCUGUAUUGCCCAAACGUUAUAAAAACAUGUUUUAAAAAGUUGGAUGAUUAAGCAUAAAUUAGGUGAUAAUUGGUUCUGGAUAUUGCAGAAGAUCGGGUUAAACAAAUUAUAUAUAGUCUAAAUUAUUAUUAGGAUAAGCUUAGAGAUUAGAUGUGAUUUGCAUCUUUACCUUUUUAUGUUUUUUUUUUUCUUGAUGUGAUAAGCAUUGUUUUCUUCUUCUUUUGAUCACAACCCCUCUUUUAGUGACCUCCUUUCUCGACUUCUUUAAUUAUCUUUCUAACCAUACGAAAGGAUUCCUCGCUAACGAUUGAAUCCAAGUCUUUUCGCACAAAAGGAAGAAGAGAUAUUCUUUAAAAGUGAUUCUUAUUCCCAAAAUCAUAUCUUUGUUUUGUUGUUUUGAUUUUGUUUGGUAGUGUUUAAUCAAAUUUACACAUAAUAGUCUUCAGUAUGAUAUAUGUAGUGUAUUUAUAUUGUUAUAUAUAGUAGCCGGUUAGUUUUCUUCAUAUAGGUGAUGUUACUAUAUUACUUAACUAUAAACUAAGUAAAGUACGUUCAUUCUUCAUAGUCAUAGACCAAAUAGAGUUUUCAUGAACACGCAAGUAUUUUCUGCUGCGAAAAGUUAU